GUCUGAACUUACUACUUUGGUAGACGAUACAAUAAUAAAUUGUUUAUGUUACAGAAGAAAAAUAAAAGAUUUUGGAAAAGCAAUUAUAAAGUAAGUUUACUUUAUGAAUAUAAUAUAUGGCGACACUAAAUAACGUUAUGAACGUUUUCAUGUGAAAUGAGAUACUUUGUAAUAAAUAAUAAUAAUCGGUUCAAAAAUAUGUAUUAAAAUGACAGUAGUUUAAGAGGAAUAUAUAACUUCUCGAGCUUAAAUAUAGUAUAGUUUCUUUUAUCAUAUGAAUUUAUCACUUAUUAAGAGUAAUAUGAUUACAAUAUUUGGUAUAUGGGAUACUUGCAUAUCUAUCUCCGACAGACAUGAUUCACCUGACCUCGAUUUCAUUUCGUGAAUCAUUGAUGAAGGUUAGGUUUUCUUCAUCGUCCGUAUCUCUUAAGCAACUAUUAUAGGUCAACUAAAGUGUGUGUAUGGAAUUGUUGUCAGAUGUACAAUGUACAAGUAUGCAUAUGAUUCACUUGACCUUGACAUUAUUGUUAAGAUUCAUUGGUAAAUUUUAUUGUGUUUUUUAAUAGUUAAGUUCGUUUCUAAUAUACUAUAAGCAAAAGGUUUACAGACGUUAGCUAUCGAAUGAUUGUAAGUGUACAUGUGUGUUUGUCAGGUUCAUAUGACCUUGACGUGAUUUGUAAUGUUUGGCAAAAGUCAUCUGACCUUGACCUCAUUUUAAAGUUCAUUCGUCAAACACAAUAUUUAUUUUGGCUAGUUUUGUUUCGUAGAUAUUAUUAGCAAUUGGUUAACUACAUUUUGUGUAUGGAAUGUUUGUAAGGCACAAAUGUCCGUCUGAUAGGUACCAUCUGACCUUGACAUCAUUUACAUGGAUCACUUUUCUUUAGGACUUUUAAUAUAAAAUGAAUCAUGAUCAAUAUUGAAGGAGAACAAUUUCAGCGUACACACCCAUGAUAGAUCUUUAUAAUAUUCUAACUGUGUCAUUAAUAAUUGAUUUUGGGUGCAAACGGCAAUUUGUAUGCAUAAGUUUCUUCUUAUUUUAUAGGAUGAUUACACUCGUUUUUUGUUUACUUUUGUUUGUAUUUGAUGUUCAGGGAACGACCAGUAACCUGGUACCCGCACAAAUGAAACAUCUUGGACCCCAAGGUAAUUAUUGAUAUUGAAUAUCUAGGAAUUUGUCGAUUUAUUAUUUUUUAGCUUAGGUAGCUUGGAACAAAAGACAUAUAUGUUUUAUGUGUCUCUGAUGGAACUACAUUAACUUCCAAAUGACUAAAAUCAGGUUUUGAUAGGAUUUUUGACAAAUGAGUCUUGACCUCACAUUUAAAAAUUUAGAGCCUUUUUGAUCAAAUCAUUUAAUUUAAUCUUUAACCCCUUUUAAAAUAGUCUUGAAUAAAAUACAGUACAUAUAUUUGUAAAGGAACAUUCUUAAUUUUUAAAAUACAUUCUGGAAUAAAAUACAGUAACAAAACAAACAACAUAAUUGGAAAAGAAACAUGCAAGAAACUAUUUUCAGAUAUUUUAUGUUUGUUUUCAUAUAAGUACAUUUUGUAGUGUAUUCCACUGCGUUUCGAACGCAAAAUGUAUAUUUAUUUAUUUUUCAGAAGCCUAUUGGGACCUUUUGGAGACGAUGUAUCAUAAUCCUUAUCAUGAUUUUUCUUGGCUUUUAAUGUAUAUUAUGUCUACCGAUGGAGAGGCAAUGGGCAUAGACAUUUAGCUUAUAUAUAAUGUUUCUUUUAUGUCUCUUUUUCAUUAACAAUUCAUUUUGCUUCAUUCCAAUAUUCAUUUAUUUUAAUAACAUAUGUUUUUUUUACCCAUAAUUAUACAAGUUUUAAAGUAAACAAAUAUUUAGCAAUUUUUUUUUCACGGUGAUUUUUACAUAUUAUGUAAAUGUAUUGCACAGAAUCAGUUAACUAAUCAGAGGCAAAAUAUGACAACAGGCGAAUUGAAAUGACGAAUAAAAGACAGAAAUGUAAUAAUAAAAAAAAGAAACACAACCGUUGAUAAUCAAUAGUUAAAGGAGUUACAUCAUAACUGUACAUUCUAGAACUGGGUCAUUGUCAUUGUACCUAAUAUAUUAUUAAAUGUUCCAGCUGUUUUUUAUUGCUGGUUUUAAUUGAAUA
rnacentral:lncRNA from 1 species